rnacentral:rRNA from 1 species
GACGAACGCUGGCGGCGUGCCUAAUACAUGCAAGUUGAGCGCUGAAGGUUGGUACUUGUACCGACUGGAUGAGCAGCGAACGGGUGAGUAACGCGUGGGGAAUCUGCCUUUGAGCGGGGGACAACAUUUGGAAACGAAUGCUAAUACCGCAUAAAAACUUUAAACACAAGUUUUAAGUUUGAAAGAUGCAAUUGCAUCACUCAAAGAUGAUCCCGCGUUGUAUUAGCUAGUUGGUGAGGUAAAGGCUCACCAAGGCGAUGAUACAUAGCCGACCUGAGAGGGUGAUCGGCCACAUUGGGACUGAGACACGGCCCAAACUCCUACGGGAGGCAGCAGUAGGGAAUCUGCGGCAAUGGACGAAAGUCUGACCGAGCAACGCCGCGUGAGUGAAGAAGGUUUUCGGAUCGUAAAACUCUGUUGGUAGAGAAGAACGUUGGUGAGAGUGGAAAGCUCAUCAAGUGACGGUAACUACCCAGAAAGGGACGGCUAACUACG